GUGGGGAAUAUUGCGCAAUGGGGGAAACCCUGAACCAGCAACGCCGCGUGAGGGAAGACGGCCUUCGGGUUGUAAACCUAAGUGAUCAGGGAUGAAACAAAUGACAGUACCUGAAAAGCAAGCUCCGGCUAACUACGUGCCAGCAGCCGCGGUAAUACGUAGGGAGCAAGCGUUGUCCGGAUUUACUGGGUGUAAAGGGUGCGUAGGCGGGAACACAAGUCAGGCGUGAAAUACCGGGGCUCAACUCCGGGGCUGCGCUUGAAACUGUGUUUCUUGAGUGAAGUAGAGGCAGGCGGAAUUCCUAGUGUAGCGGUGGAAUGCGUAGAUAUUAGGAGGAACACCAGUGGCGAAGGCGGCCUGCUGGGCUUUAACUGACGCUGAUGCACGAAAGCAUGGGGAGCAAACAGGA
rnacentral:rRNA from 1 species